rnacentral:lncRNA from 1 species
AAAAAUCAAACACCUUCAAUUUUCAAUUCUAUUGCCACUAAUAAUUUAUCCGCUCCGAUAAUUAACUUGAAAAAAAGAACAAGUUCAAUUUAUUAAAAAAUAAUAAUAAUAAUAAUAAGAGGAAGCAAUAUCGUGUAUGUAUAACCUGGAAAGGGAGAGAGAAGAGUUGAGAGCUUGAGAUAAGAUUUUCAGGUGAGGGAGAGAGAAGAAAGAGUAGAUGACCAGAAAAAAAAAAAAAUUCGUGUACAGAAAAAAGUGUUAUUCCGCACGCAUGAGAUUCCAGAGGGUCCAUUACAUCCACCAACAGAGGAGAGGGUCCAUCCUCCACCAACUGCUAUCAUCUCUGGGCCGACAACACGUACUCCACCUUCUCGACCCUAUCAUUAAGAAAGGCCUUGACGGCUGGAGGGCUCGGAGCUUUCUUCGAUGGAGCUUCAACCUCCUUUCCUGAAAGCUCUUGCAGGAAUUCUGAAACCAGUCUUUAGGUAUAUAUAUAUAUUUUUUUUGUUUCUUAAUUUAUUUCAUAAUUGGUUUGGAAGAACGGCGAAAAUCUGUAUACCAAAGUGUUGUGCUUGUUAUUAGUAUUACUAUCAACUGGAGUUUGUUUUGCGUGUUUUUACAAUUUAUUUUUAAAAUUUAUUCCACCGAACAUGCACUUAAAUUAUAGAAGUAAAAAUAAAAAUAGGAACCAUGCAUCAAUACCGAACGGGCCCUACUGUAUAUGAACAACUUUACUUCAAAUUGAUCAAUUUCAGCGCAAAAGCAAGGCAUUGAAAAUGAUGCGAAUAAAUGAAAAAUAAAAAUUAAAAAAUGGGUUCUCAUCUGGUUGUCUUUUUUUUUUUUUUUUCCGUAUAAAUGCCACCAACCAUCUUACGGAUUUUUUUAUGUUCACAACUUUUUUGCAAUAUUUCUUCCACACUAGGGGUGAGAAUUUGAUCUGACUCUAAUUUUUAAUCUGAUUGACCCGAUCUUAAUUUUUUGAGUUUCAGGUCGGGCUUAAGUCGACCCAACCCGACUCAACCCUAUAUUAAAAAAAUAAAAUAAAAUGGUUGUGAUCCUUGUGAAAUUGAAUUGUGUGUGGAAUAAAUGAUUGUAGAAUUGAAUCAUGUGUUUUAAAUUUAAUUGUAUUGUGU